CAGAGUACCAAUUGGAGGGCAAGUCUGGUGCCAGCAGCCGCGGUAAUUCCAGCUCCAAUAGCGUAUAUUAAACUUGUUGCAGUUAAAAAGCUCGUAGUUGAAUUUCAGCGUUUCGCGUGUGCCUCUUUUGGCCCAUCUCGUCUCGCUUUUUUUAUUACUUUGAGAAAAUUAGAGUGUUUCAAGCAGGCUUUUGUCUUGAAUACUUGAGCAUGGAAUAAUAGAGUAGGACCUUGGUUCUAUUUUGUUGGUUUUGUUACCUUGGUAAUGGUUAAUAGGAACGGUUGGGGGCAUUCGUAUUUAACUGUCAGAGGUGAAAUUCUUAGAUUUGUUAAAGACGAACUACUGCGAAAGCAUUUGCCAAGGACGUUUCCAUUAAUCAAGAACGAAAGUUAGGGGAUCGAAGACGAUCAGAUACCGUCG
rnacentral:rRNA from 1 species